UAUGGCCACAUCACAUUCAAACACCAGUUCCCAUAAGAUCACUGUAGUUAAUCAAUAUUGAGCCUGGUCAGUAAUUAGAUGGGUGACCACUUAGGAAUAACAGGUGCUGUAAU